AUUGAACGCUGGCGGCAGGCCUAACACAUGCAAGUCGAGCGGAUGAAGGGAGCUUGCUCCUGGAUUCAGCGGCGGACGGGUGAGUAAUGCCUAGGAAUCUGCCUGGUAGUGGGGGAUAACGUCCGGAAACGGGCGCUAAUACCGCAUACGUCCUGAGGGAGAAAGUGGGGGAUCUUCGGACCUCACGCUAUCAGAUGAGCCUAGGUCGGAUUAGCAGUUGGUGGGGUAAAGGCCUACCAAGGCGACGAUCCGUAACUGGUCUGAGAGGAUGAUCAGUCACACUGGAACUGAGACACGGUCCAGACUCCUACGGGAGGCAGCAGUGGGGAAUAUUGGACAAUGGGCGAAAGCCUGAUCCAGCCAUGCCGCGUGUGUGAAGAAGGUCUUCGGAUUGUAAAGCACUUUAAGUUGGGAGGAAGGGCAGUAAGUUAAUACCUUGCUGUUUUGACGUUACCAACAGAAUAAGCACCGGCUAACUUCGUG
rnacentral:rRNA from 1 species